rnacentral:rRNA from 1 species
ACCGAGCGACGCCGCGUGGGCGACGAAGGCCUUCGGGUUGUAAAGCCCUGUCGGGGGGGGAAAGGGCAACUUGAUCCCCCCCAGGAGGAAGCACGGGCUAAGUUCGUGC